CCUUAGAGUUUGAUCCUGGCUCAGAACGAUCGCUGGCGGCAGGCUUAACACAUGCAAGUCGAACGCCCCGCAAGGGGAGUGGCAGACGGGUGAGUAACGCGUGGGAACGUACCCUUUACUACGGAAUAACUCAGGGAAACUUGUGCUAAUACCGUAUGUGCCCUUCGGGGGAAAGAUUUAUCGGUAAAGGAUCGGCCCGCGUUGGAUUAGCUAGUUGGUGGGGUAAAGGCCUACCAAGGCGACGAUCCAUAGCUGGUCUGAGAGGAUGAUCAGCCACAUUGGGACUGAGACACGGCCCAAACUCCUACGGGAGGCAGCAGUGGGGAAUAUUGGACAAUGGGCGCAAGCCUGAUCCAGCCAUGCCGCGUGAGUGAUGAAGGCCCUAGGGUUGUAAAGCUCUUUCACCGGUGAAGAUAAUGACGGUAACCGGAGAAGAAGCCCCGGCUAACUUCGUGCCAGCAGCCGCGGUAAUACGAAGGGGGCUAGCGUUGUUCGGAAUUACUGGGCGUAAAGCGCACGUAGGCGGGUAUUUAAGUCAGGGGUGAAAUCCCAGAGCUCAACUCUGGAACUGCCUUUGAUACUGGGUACCUAGAGUAUGGAAGAGGUAAGUGGAAUUCCGAGUGUAGAGGUGAAAUUCGUAGAUAUUCGGAGGAACACCAGUGGCGAAGGCGGCUUACUGGUCCAUUACUGACGCUGAGGUGCGAAAGCGUGGGGAGCAAACAGGAAAAGAUACCCUGGUAGUCCACGCCG
rnacentral:rRNA from 1 species